UUUCCGUAGGUGAACCUGCGGAAGGAUCAUUAUUGUAUAACCGAGGUGCGAGGGCUGUCGCUGACCCGAAAGGUCGUGCACGCCCGAGUGCCCUCACACACAUCCAUCUCACCCCUAUGUGCACCACCGCGUGGGUCCCCCUUUGGCUUGUUCGGAGGGGGGCUUACGCUUUCACACAAACUUUGUAUGCAGUGUAGAAUGUAUUUUUUGUUUUUGCGAUCACGCAAUCAAUACAACUUUCAACAACGGAUCUCUUGGCUCAC
rnacentral:misc_RNA from 1 species